GGGAGCAUAGCUUAGUGGUAGACUGAGUGCUUGCCAUGCACAGGGUCCUGGGUUCAAUCCCCAGUGCCUCUG
rnacentral:tRNA from 1 species